CCUGCGAUUACCGACAUGUUGACCGAAACUCCGUCCGGAUUUUUAACACAGCUGGUUUCUCUUCUCUGUCAGUAUGAUAAGUGUGAAGUCAUUGACAGAAAUUAAUAACAUUCAAGGCUAAUCAUGGUUUGUGUACCAUGUGUCUUUAUUCCAAUUGUGUUAAUUCUAUGGAGAUUUCUUAUACAACCCAUUCUAAUAAAAUUGUGGAGAUAUAGAAUAAAGAGAAAGGACACAAAAGAUGAAGCCGCACCAGAGUUAGUAAAAAAAUGCGAAAAUGGUGUCUGUUCACUGGCUUGGGAAAGGUCACAGAAAAUAUCUAAAGUUGAGUAAUAACUCAAUAACAAUAAUUAUUCAUCGAUGCAUCAACAAGAUCCUUAAAAAAAUGAAAAAAAA